rnacentral:rRNA from 1 species
GACGAACGCUGGCGGCGUGCUUAACACAUGCAAGUCGAACGGAAAGGCCCUGCUUUUGUGGGGUGCUCGAGUGGCGAACGGGUGAGUAACACGUGAUUAACCUGCCCUUGACUUUGGGAUAACUUCAGGAAACUGGGGCUAAUACCGGAUAGGAGCUCCUGCUGCAUGGUGGGGGUUGGAAAGUUUCGGCGGUUGGGGAUGGACUCGCGGCUUAUCAGCUUGUUGGUGGGGUAGUGGCUUACCAAGGCUUUGACGGGUAGCCGGCCUGAGAGGGUGAACGGCAACAUUGGGACUGAGAUAAGGCCCAGACUCCUAAGGGAGGCAGCAAUGAGGAAUAUUGCACAAUGGGCGGAAGACUGAUGCAGCAACGACGCGUGAGGGAUGAAGGACUUCGGGUUGUAAACCGCUUUCGCCUGUGACGAAGCGUGAGUGAAGGUAAUGGGUAAAGAAGCACCGGCUAAAUACGUG